UCCUGUGCCUGCCUAUAGUCACAGCUACGCAUGAGGAUCGCUUGAGCCCUGGAGUUCUGGGCUGCAGCACACUACUGAUCAGGUGUUCAUGCUAAGUUCAUUCAGCAUUAAUAUGGUGACCUCCUGGGAUGAGAGAGAACCACCAGGUUGCCAACAGAGAAGGGCAAAACUCCCAAACUGAUCAAUAGUGGGAUUACGCCUGUGAAUAGACACUGCACUCCAGCCUGAGCAACACAGGAAGAAU
rnacentral:sRNA from 1 species